rnacentral:rRNA from 1 species
UACGGAGGGUGCAAGCGUUAAUCGGAUUCAUUGGGCGUAAAGGGCGCGUAGGCGGCACUGUAAGUCGGGUGUGAAAUCCCGGGUCUCAACCCCGGAACGGCACUCGAAACUGCAGUCCUAGAGGGUAGGCGGAGAAAACGGAAUUCCACAAGUAGCGGUGAAAUGCGUAGAUAUGUGGAAGAACACCGGUGGCGAAAGCGGUUUUCUAGCUUAUUCCUGACGCUGAGGCGCGAAAGCAAGGGGAUCAAACAGG